rnacentral:SRP_RNA from 1 species
GCCGGGCAUGGUGGUGCAUGCCUGUAAUCCCAGCUACUCGGGAGGCUGAGGCAAGAGAAUUGCUUGAGCCCAGGAGGUGGAGUUUGCAGUGAGCAGAGAUCACACCACUGCACUCCAGCCUGGGCGACAGAGUGAGACUCCGUCUCAA